CAGUGAACAGCAGCGGAAUUUGUGCAGUCAGCUGCGAGCAGCGAAGAAGCAGAAUGCACAGAAACUGCUCACGUAUCUCAGGAUUUACCAGGAGGUGGUGAUGCAGCUUUUUAGGAAGGAGAAGAACUGCAAGCUCAACCACUGGAGAAGAAUGUGAAGGAAUUGUCUUCAAAGAGAGGGCAGAACUUUACAGCUGGGCCAGAGAUGCCGCUCAGCGGAAGGAGCUCUUGGAGAGCUGAAGCUCCUCUUCCGGACACAGCAGAAGUAUUCCAGGAGCCUCGUGAGAAGGGGCCGAGUUGCUGAGGUGUGUGCAAAGCAUGUCAUCGCCACAGAAAUGAACUCAUUGCCCUCUGAGACAUCAAACUGCUUGAAUUUGGACAGCUACAGGUGAUGCUGACGGUGAAGUGGAAGUAGAGCGAGUUGCGGUCAGAUUAGAAGUUCAAGACCUGGCUGAUUCUUUCGAGAGCAGAUUGAAGAAUGCCA